UCAGCUCGAAAAAAGUUAACUGAAAUGAGAGGUGCUUGUAAAAACCCACACCCAAAGAUGGGGGCCACACUUUUAUUACGCUGAAUGACAACGACGUCUUUUUAAAAGCAACUAACUCCCAUAUCCGCGCGCGCGCGCGCGCGCACACGCACACACACACACACACUAGCACACUUGCGCACACAAACCACACAAACUUUAAGCCUUGUGAAACCGCCCAGGUGGUGUUUAAGAAAUUUUGGUAAAGAAAGAAUGGAGGAAGAAGUAUUUGAGGCAGAUUCUAGCUUGCAAGACGUGAGAAAGCUAUAGCCCGGUUUUAUUUAGUUUAGCUUAGUUUUAUUAAAUUUUUAUUUUUAAAUUGCAGCUAGUUUGAAAAUUGGUUUCUGGCAAGAGGAAAGAAAAGCCUGCAGCACUGAAGGAAGAAUCAAAGUGUUAAAAGGACGCUCAAAAUAUAGUACUGUGGCAGGCCGGGGGUGAUGGCCAAAUGUUGUGCAGAAGAGCACUGGACAUUGGUGGGCAGUGGAGGUUGGUAGCUGAAGUCCAUACCCUGCAUCAUUUCUCAGAUGAUUGCCUCUUAGAUACUUUUAUAUAAAAUUCUGGAGUUACCACCAUCAAAAACAACCUGGCCCUUCAGAGGAUUCCCUUCCAGUCUACUCUUGAUUUCUGAUUCUUUCCAAUCUAUGUUAUUAUAGAAUAUUGAACAGAGUUCCCUGUGCUAUCAAGUUGUGCCAGUCUGGAAAAUCAAUGUGGUCAAUCUAGGCCUUGGGGAUGUUGGGUGUGAGAGAUUGAAAUUUUACCUGAAGUGCCUCACAGAGAAAAUGACAUUUAAGUAAGGCUGGAAAGAGAUGGAGAGGGGCGUAAUGCAAACAUCUCAGGAUGGUUUCCAGGCAGAGGCUAAAGCAGAUGCAAACGCCCUGCAGUACAUUCAUUCAUAUCUGAUACAUUCAAGGAAGAAGAAGGCAGCACAGCUGAAGGGGAGGAUUGAGGAUGACAGUAUACAUAGAUGGGAAGCAAAAGCUUGACUGAGACCCUGAUAUCGCCUCUGAGAAAUUUCAUUUCCAACCUCCUGAAACCAAAGCAAUGUUUACCAGUGGGACAAUGGCGGACACGUGCAAGUUCCUGGCACAGAAGAGGAAGAUUAGACACCCAUCUCCCAGUUUUCCUCUGAAAGAGCUCUAUUUGCAUACUUUAAAAGCUGUUAUCUAAGUAUCCCACUUCCAGUUGGUCUGCAUCUAAAUGAUGAAUGAGAUCCUCUCUUUUGGGACACUGACAGGUCUUGGCACACUUGCAAGGACUGGGAGCCCUAAGACAAAGAAGGCUGCUUAGACAAACAUAGAUGUUUAAGAAAAAACAAACAUCUAGGACCUACCAAAACAAUAAUAAGCUUCAUUUCCUGAAGGACACUCCUUCAGGACUAGGAGGGGUGGUUGUUUUAUCUAAUGCACAAAACAAGCAUAGACAGAAAUAAAUAGGUAUAUGUUCCAAAGAAAAAGAUAUAACUCCAGAAACAGAGGCUAAUGAAAAAGUAUUAAAAGUAAUGACCAUAAAGAUGCUUACUGAGGUCAACAGAACAAUGCAUAAAGUGAAAAUUUCAACAAAGAGAUAGAAAACAUAAAGUACCAGACAAAUCACAGAGCUGAAGAAUUAGAGUGGUUCAACAGUAGACUAGAUGAAAUGAAGAAAGGAUUAGUGAACUUCUAAGACAAGGCUGCAGAAUUCAUCCAAUUAGUGUCUCCAGCCCCCCUCAAAAAAAAAAAAAAAAAAAGAAAA